CUCUCAAAGUUCUUAAGUAAUUUAGAUGAACUAAGCAUUUCAAAGUAAGUGUCCUCAUCUUCUUUCAUUAACUCAAUCUGGUGUGGGUCUUUGUGGCAUGUACUCAAAGGAAAUUCUACGGCAUGUGAAAAAUUUAACGAGCUUUACAACUUAAUAACAAAAGUAUUAAUGUUAUUGUUGGUGGAAGUUCAGAAGUCACCUGUGUAAGCAUGUCACAAAACUUUAAAAUAAUAAAACCUUAGUUGUUUGAAAAUCCAGCUGUGAAAACUGCAUGAGUCUGUUUGUUUUCUGUAUUUGAUGAUUUACUCAUAUUUACCAUAUAAUGUAACAAACCUAUAUAUAAAUCAUAUAAAUGUACAUCUUUGUAUUUAGUUACGUAUAGAUCUAAUCAUUACUACAAAAUGUAAAGCUAUGUAAAUUGUUUUUGUUGAGUAAGUAUUUGUAGAUCUUGUUUACACUUUUCUGAUUUUUGGAAACAUUUUGUCGUCGCAUUCCUACCUAUUUGGAAUAUGUAUGCACAGCUUAUAGGAGUGUGCCUGAAAAAUGGCACGGCAUCUUAAAUUAUAAUGACAGAGCCUUUUGUUUGUAUUUUGUGUGUGUGUAAUGUAACUGUUAUUGUGUCAACAUGUAGGGUCAUCUGCCUAGUGACUGGUUGUAUUUAUUAAAGUAACAUUACAUGUAUGUGUCAAAUUAACUCCUCUUCAACAGUGAUGUGUAAAUCUUCGCUGGACUCUAGCAGUUGAUGUAUGUGUAGUUGAUUUAGACACUUCACGUAUAUAUCUAUAACUUUUAUUUUACUUGACUACAGGUGAACAGUUUGAUGACAAGGCCCCACGCCGUGCACAGAUCCGGACAUCCAAUCCCCCGGGAGGCAAAUCUUCUGGCCUCUGGUGAGCACAGCAAGAACUGAUGGUUCAUGGGGCCACUCACAAAAUCUACAUAGGGAAGCUUUUUUAUUGUCGCUUUGUGAAAAUACUUAUUCAACUGCUGAGAGAGGGGAAUUUCUUUGGAGUUAGUGUUGUGUUCAGGACAUGAAACCAUCUAUCAACAAGGCAUCACAGAAUCCAUCUGAGAAGAGGAAGGGAGUGCCUUCAAUUAACAGUCCAAAUUUUGUCAAAUCAAGUUCUAUUUGAUAUAACCAGUGUAUUUUCUCUCAAGUUUUUAAAGUAUUCAAGUUUAUAUUGUGUCUGUCAGUACUUGUGAUAAAGCCCAAAUGGACACUGUAUAAAUGUUCAUAAAUAUGCAUGUUGGAAAGUUUAUUAUAUAUUUCUUGUGUAACAAAUCAGAAAUUUUACCAAAAACCCUUUUUUAUAAAUUUUCAAUGUGAUUCUGAUGUUGUCUGCUAUUGCUAUCGGUUGUGUCUAUUUUUUGGCGAAAGUCCAUUAUUUUGUCUCUGAAUAUACAAAAUCACAUCUAAAGGGGAUCCAAAUAGAUGGUGCACUCAUUGAAGUUCUGAUUGUGGAGCAGAGUCGGAGGUGAUGUACUAAGGCUGGUUUUGCAUUUUAUUCCAAUCAGUUCAGUUAAAGGCAGCCAUUAUGUAACUUGUUUUGCGUCCAUCUUGUUGUAGAUCUACUUGUUAUAAAUUCCACUGAAUAGGUAAACAACUAGCAUUAUUAUUUUCAUUAGGACUAGUUAUUAGUCCAUGUUAAGCUAUUCUAAGAAGAUGACAACAUUAAUGAUUUCUUAAAUUGUUCAAUGUUAAAUUUUUUUAAUGCUAGUCAGAAUGAAGUUGAAACCAUGACUUCGUGUUGGAGUGUUAAAUAUGAUUUUAAUCUAGGAGCUGAAUGGUUACAUUAAAUGAAAAACCAAGAGACUGUCUUAUCAGUAUUUAUCCAGUUAUCAGGGCUUUUUACUACAUGUAUUUAUUUCCUAAUCUAUGUGUCUGCAAGUCAAUUACUAUAUACAAUAGUUGUAGCACUGCCUCUAGUAAGACUUGAAUGUAGAAUGUAUUCUGAAUCUAGCAUGUAUGAAUUAAUAAACAGUUAAAAC
rnacentral:misc_RNA from 1 species